UCCCAAGGCUAAAUACUCCCUAGUGACCGAUAGUGAACCAGUACCGUGAGGGAAAGGUGAAAAGCACCCCGGAAGGGGAGUGAAAGAGAUCCUGAAACCGUGUGCCUACAAGUAGUUAGAGCCCGUUAAUGGGUGAUAGCGUGCCUUUUGUAGAAUGAACCGGCGAGUUACGAUUACAUGCAAGGUUAAGUUGGACAGACGGAGCCGCAGCGAAAGCGAGUCUGAAUAGGGCGAAUGAGUAUGUGGUCGUAGACCCGAAACCAGGUGAUCUACCCAUGUCCAGGGUGAAGUCCAGGUAACACUGGAUGGAGGCCCGAACCCACGCACGUUGAAAAGUGCGGGGAUGAGGUGUGGGUAGCGGAGAAAUUCCAAUCGAACCUGGAGAUAGCUGGUUCUCUCCGAAAUAGCUUUAGGGCUAGCCUCAUGCGUGAGAAUCUUGGAGGUAGAGCACUGUUUGGACUAGGGGCCCUCAUCGGGUUACCGAAUUCAGACAAACUCCGAAUGCCAAAGAUUUAUCCAUGGGAGUCAGACUGCGAGUGAUAAGAUCCGUAGUCAAGAGGGAAACAGCCCAGACCACCAGCUAAGGUCCCAAAGUAUACGUUAAGUGGAAAAGGAUGUGGAGUUGCUUAGACAACCAGGAUGUUGGCUUAGAAGCAGCCACCAUUUAAAGAGUGCGUAAUAGCUCACUGGUCGAGUGACUCCGCGCCGAAAAUGUACCGGGGCUAAACGUAUCACCGAAGCUGUGGAUUGACAUCUACGAUGUCAGUGGUAGGAGAGCGUUCUAAGGG
rnacentral:rRNA from 1 species